rnacentral:rRNA from 1 species
GGCGCAAGCCUGAUGCAGCUAUGCCGCGUGUAUGAAGAAGGCCUUAGGGUUGUAAAGUACUUUCAACAAGAAAGAAAAGAUAAAAUCUAAUAUAUUUUAUCAUUGACGUUACUUGUAAAAGAAGCACCGGCUAACUCCGUGCCAGCAGCCGCGGUAAUACGGAGGGUGCGAGCGUUAAUCGGAAUUACUGGGCGUAAAGAGCACGUAGGCUGUUAAUUAAGUCAGAUGUGAAAUCCCUAAGCUUAACUUAGGAACUGCAUUUGAAACUGAUUAACUUGAGUUUCGUAGAGGGGGGUAGAAUUCCAGGUGUAGCGGUGAAAUGCGUAGAUAUCUGGAGGAAUACCGGUGGCGAAGGCGACCCCCUGGACGGAUACUGACGCUCAGGUGCGAAAGCAUGGGGAGCAAACAGGAUUAGAUACCCUGGUAGUCCAUGCUGUAAACGAUGUCGACUUGAAGGUUGUAAGCUUGACUUAUAGCUUUCGUAGCUAACGCGUUAAGUCGACCGCCUGGGRAGUACGACCGCAAGGUUAAAACUCAAAUGAAUUGACGGGGGCCCGCACAAGCGGUGGAGCAUGUGGUUUAAUUCGAUGCAACGCGAAAAACCUUACCUGGUCUUGACAUCCAUGGAAUUAAAUAGAGAUAUUUUAGUGCCUUCGGGAACCAUGAGACAGGUGCUGCAUGGCUGUCGUCAGCUCGUGUUGUGAAAUGUUGGGUUAAGUCCCGCAACGAGCGCAACCCUUAUCCUUUGUUGCCAUCAGUUCGGCUGGGAACUCAAAGGAGACUGCCGGUGAUAAACCGGAGGAAGGUGAGGACGACGUCAAGUCAUCAUGGCCCUUACGACCAGGGCUACACACGUGCUACAAUGGUAUAUACAAAGGGAAGCAUCCUCGUAAGAGUAAGCGAAUCUCACAAAAUAUAUCUUAGUUCGGAUUGGAGUCUGCAACUCGACUCUAUGAAGUCGGAAUCGCUAGUAAUCGUAGAUCAGAAUGCUACGGUGAAUACGUUCCCGGGCCUUGUACACACCGCCCGUCACACCAUGGAAGUGGGUUGUAAAAGAAGUAAGUUGU